UAAGGAAUAUUCCACAAUGGGCGCAAGCCUGAUGGAGCGACGCCGCGUGCGCGAAGAAGCCCUUCGGGGUGUAAAGCGCUUUUCUCGGGGAUGACAGAAGACAGUACCCGAGGAAGAAGCCUCGGCUAACUACGUGCCAGCAGCCGCGGUAAUACGUAGGAGGCGAGCGUUGUCCGGAAUUACUGGGCGUAAAGCGCGUGUAGGCGGUCUGAAUAGUCUGCUGUGAAAGCGCCUGGCUUAACCGGGCGAGGUCGGCGGAAACUCUCAGACUGGAGGCCGGUAGAGGGGGGUGGAAUUCCCGGUGUAGUGGUGAAAUGCGUAGAGAUCGGGAGGAACACCUGUGGCGAAGGCGGCCCCCUGGGCCGCGCCUGACGCUGAGACGCGAAGGCUAGGGGAGCGAACGG
rnacentral:rRNA from 1 species